GCGAUUCGCCCUUGGGGGUGCCCGAGGCGUCGAUACUUUACAUGCGGGAAACCGUGAUUAGGGGACACCGAGUGCCAGCAUCAUAUGCUGGCUGUCCAGGUGUGUAAAAUACUCCUGUAUACCAAGGGCCGGGCAAUACCGGUGCCAACCGCCGCGGUAACACCGGCGGCCCGAGUGGUGAUCUUGAUUAUUGGGUCUAAAGAGGUCCGUAUCCGGUUAGGUCAUUCCUCCGGGAAAUCUGACGGCUCAACCGUUAUGUUUUCCGGGGAUACUGCCAAGCUUGGAACCGGGAGAGGUAAGAGGUACUACAGGGGUACGAGUGAAAUCUUGUAAUCCCUGUGAGACCACCUGUAGGAAAGGCGUCUUACCAGAACGGGUUCUACGGUCAGGGACUAAAGAUGGGGGCUCGAACCGGAUUAGAUACCCGGGUAGUCGCAACCGUAAACGAUGCUCCCUAGGUGUCAGGCAUGUUUCAACCGUGUCUGGUGCCGCAAGAAAACCCUGAAACUAGCCAUCUGGUAAUUACGGUCUCACGGAUGAUACUUAUAUGAAUUGUGGGGGGACCAC
rnacentral:rRNA from 1 species